rnacentral:rRNA from 1 species
GACGAACGCUGGCGGCGUGCUUAACACAUGCAAGUCGAACGGUAAGGCCCCUUCGGGGGUACACGAGUGGCGCACGGGCGAGUAACACGUGAGCAACCUGCCCUUGACUUUGGGAUACCAGCUGGAAACAGCUGCUAAUACCGGAUAUGACCUCUUCUCUCAUGGGUUGAGGUGGAAAGCUCCGGCGGUCAGGGAUGGGCUCGCGGCCUAUCAGCUUGUUGGUGAGGUAAUGGCUCACCAAGGCUUCGACGGGUAGCCGGCCUGAGAGGGCGACCGGCCACACUGGGACUGAGAUACGGCCCAGACUCCUACGGGAGGCAGCAGUGGGGAAUAUUGCACAAUGGGCGCAAGCCUGAUGCAGCAACGCCGCGUGCGGGAUGACGGCCUUCGGGUUGUAAACCGCUUUCAGUAGGGACGAAGCUAACGUGACGGUACCUACAGAAGAAGGACCGGCUAACUACGUG